rnacentral:rRNA from 1 species
AUGUUCUUUUAUUGGUAUCUAUGCAAACGAAUAGAUGAUAGUAGAUCAAGUGUCUUAAUAUCUGUAUUGCGACUAAUAUUUGAAGUUUUGCUUUUGUCGAAAAUCUCAAAGGUGUUGCAUGCAAGCUUUAGAAAAUGCAUUCAGAUUUCAGAGUUGAUCAAUCCAUUGAAGUGUAAGGUGUUGCAUGUGAGCUUUAGAAAAUGCAUUCAGAUUUCAGAGUUGAUCAAUCCAUUAAAGUGUAACUGCAGUUGGAGUGACCAUAUACACAUGCAACAUUGUAGUUUAGGACCUAGAAACAAUAGCCUGGCAAGUUCUUAUCCUAAUGUCAGCUCCUGUGUCUUGAGUAAGCGUUAG